AGUGAACGCUGGCGGUAGGCCUAACACAUGCAAGUCGAACGGCAGCACAGUAAGGGCUUGCUCUUACGGUUGGCGAGUGGCGGACGGGUGUGGAAUACAUCGGACUCUACUUUUUCGUGGGGGUUAACGUAGGGAAACUUACGCUAUUACCGCAUACGACCUACGGGUGAAAGCAGGGGAUCUUCGGACCUUUCGCGGUUGAAUGAGCCGAUGUCGGAUUAGCUAGUUGGCGGGGGAAAGGCCCACCAAGGCGACGAUCCGUAGCUGGUCUGAGAGGAUGGUCAGCCACACUGGAACUGAGACACGGUCCAGACUCGUACGGGAGGCAGCAGUGGGGAAUAUUGGACAAUGGGGGAAAGCCUGAUCCAGCCAGACCGCGUGGGUGAAGAAGGCCUUCGGGUGGUAAAGCCUUUUUGUUGGGAAAGAAAAGCAGCAGGUCAAUACCCCGCUGUUCUGACGGUAACCAAAGAAUAAGCACCGGCUAACUUCGUG
rnacentral:rRNA from 1 species